rnacentral:rRNA from 1 species
AGUGGCGGGUGCUACCAUGCAAGUCGAGCGGAGAUUAUAGCAAUAUAAUCUUAGCGGCGGACGGGUGAGUAACGCGUGGGCAACCUGCCUUUCACAGGGGGAUAACACAGGGAAACUUGUGCUAAUACCGCAUAAGAUCAUAGGAGGACAUCCUCCAGUGACCAAAGGAGCAAUCCGGUGAGAGAUGGGCCCGCGUCCAAUUAGCUAGUUGGUGGUGUAACGGACCACCAAGGCGACGAUUGGUAGCCGAACUGAGAGGUUGAUCGGCCACAUUGGGACUGAGAUACGGCCCAGACUCCUACGGGAGGCAGCAGUGGGGAAUAUUGCGCAAUGGGGGGAACCCUGACGCAGCAACGCCGCGUGAAGGAUGAAGGUUUUCGGAUUGUAAACUUCUUUGAUGAGGGACGAAAGAAAUGACGGUACCUCAAAAACAAGCCACGGCUAACUACGUGCCAGCAGCCGCGGUAAUACGUAGGUGGCGAGCGUUGUCCGGAAUUACUGGGUGUAAAGGGCGUGUAGGCGGGAAUGCAAGUCAGAUGUGAAAUACCGUGGCUUAACCACGGAGCUGCAUCUGAAACUGUGUUUCUUGAGUGUCGGAGAGGAAAGUGGAAUUCCCAGUGUAGCGGUGAAAUGCGUAGAUAUUGGGAGGAACACCAGUGGCGAAGGCGACUUUCUGGACGAUAACUGACGCUGAGGCGCGAAAGCGUGGGGAGCAAACAGGAUUAGAUACCCUGGUAGUCCACGCCGUAAACGAUGGAUACUAUGUGUAGGAGGUAUCGACCCCUUCUGUGCCGCAGUUAACACAUAAGUAUCCCACCUG